rnacentral:rRNA from 1 species
GAUGAACGCUGGCGGCGUGCCUAAUACAUGCAAGUCGAGCGAACAGAUAAGGAGCUUGCUCCUUUGAAGUUAGCGGCGGACGGGUAAGUAACACGUGGGUAACCUACCUAUAAGACUGGGAUAACUUCGGGAAACCGGAGCUAAUACCGGAUAACAUUUAGAACCACAUGGUUCUAAAGUGAAAGAUGGUUUUGCUAUCACUUAUAGAUGGACCCGCGCCGUAUUAGCUAGUUGGUAAGGUAACGGCUUACCAAGGCGACGAUACGUAGCCGACCUGAGAGGGUGAUCGGCCACACUGGAACUGAGACACGGUCCAGACUCCUACGGGAGGCAGCAGUAGGGAAUCUUCCGCAAUGGGCGAAAGCCUGACGGAGCAACGCCGCGUGAGUGAUGAAGGGUUUCGGCUCGUAAAACUCUGUUAUUAGGGAAGAACAAAUGUGUAAGUAACUGUGCACAUCUUGACGGUACCUAAUCAGAAAGCCACGGCUAACUACGUGCCAGCAGCCGCGGUAAUACGUAGGUGGCAAGCGUUAUCCGGAAUUAUUGGGCGUAAAGCGCGCGUAGGCGGUUUCUUAAGUCUGAUGUGAAAGCCCACGGCUCAACCGUGGAGGGUCAUUGGAAACUGGGAAACUUGAGUGCAGAAGAGGAAAGUGGAAUUCCAUGUGUAGCGGUGAAAUGCGCAGAGAUAUGGAGGAACACCAGUGGCGAAGGCGACUUUCUGGUCUGUAACUGACGCUGAUGUGCGAAAGCGUGGGGAUCAAACAGGAUUAGAUACCCUGGUAGUCCACGCCGUAAACGAUGAGUGCUAAGUGUUAGGGGGUUUCCGCCCCUUAGUGCUGCAGCUAACGCAUUAAGCACUCCGCCUGGGGAGUACGACCGCAAGGUUGAAACUCAAAGGAAUUGACGGGGACCCGCACAAGCGGUGGAGCAUGUGGUUUAAUUCGAAGCAACGCGAAGAACCUUACCAAAUCUUGACAUCCUUUGAAAACUCUAGAGAUAGAGCCUUCCCCUUCGGGGGACAAAGUGACAGGUGGUGCAUGGUUGUCGUCAGCUCGUGUCGUGAGAUGUUGGGUUAAGUCCCGCAACGAGCGCAACCCUUAAGCUUAGUUGCCAUCAUUAAGUUGGGCACUCCAGGUUGACUGCCGGUGACAAACCGGAGGAAGGUGGGGAUGACAUCAAAUCAUCAUGCCCCUUAUGAUUUGGGCUACACACGUGCUACAAUGGACAAUACAAAGGGCAGCUAAACCGCGAGGUCAUGCAAAUCCCAUAAAGUUGUUCUCAGUUCGGAUUGUAGUCUGCAACUCGACUACAUGAAGCUGGAAUCGCUAGUAAUCGUAGAUCAGCAUGCUACGGUGAAUACGUUCCCGGGUCU